GAUGAACGCUAGCGGCAGGCCUAAUACAUGCAAGUCGAACGGUGUAGCAAUACACAGUGGCGCACGGGUGCGUAACACGUAUGCAACCUACCUAUCAUUGGGGGAUAGCCUUUGGAAACGGAGAUUAAUACCGCAUAAGACAGUAACAUGGCAUCAUGUAGCUGUUAAAGCUUCGGCGAUGAUAGAUGGGCAUGCGUCCAAUUAGUUAGUUGGUGAGGUAAUGGCUCACCAAGACGAUGAUUGGUAAGGGAUCUGAGAGGAUAAUCCCCCACACUGGCACUGAGAUACGGGCCAGACUCCUACGGGAGGCAGCAGUAGGGAAUAUUGGGCAAUGGGCGGAAGCCUGACCCAGCCAUGCCGCGUGCAGGAUGAAGGCGUUAUGCGUUGUAAACUGCUUUUUUAUAGGAAGAAGGAGACCUUGCGAGGUUUGGUGACGGUACUAUAAGAAUAAGCACCGGCUAACUCCGUGCCAGCAGCCGCCGUAAGAC
rnacentral:rRNA from 1 species